UUUAUUUUUUAAAGAAUUUGACACUUCUCGAAUGGAAAUGGGUGCAGUGGCAGAUCUUUUUGAUCGUAAUGGUGGAGACCCGAUUGGCAAGAACGCAAACCAGCAACUGAUUCAGAUAAAAUACAUGAUGAAGUUAAACGCCUUGUUAUCCUUUGCACAUGUCGACAAAAAUUUUGCGUAUUUCAAGUUGGCAAAGGGAAAUAUAGGUUUGGCGACUCGACUCUCAAAAAUUACGAAUAUUGCGAAUAUUGCGUAGCACAGUUAUGGUUCGUGUAGGUGGCGGCUGGCUUGCACUUGAUGAGUUCUUAUAAAAAAAUUUUCCUUGUCGCGAAAAAUGAAUAAGGAUAAUAAUGGUUUAAUACCACGUGCCGAAUUCAUAUAUGGAAAAAUAAAAUUUGACACUUCUCGAAUGGAAAUGGGUGCAGUGGCAGAUCUUUUCGAUCGUAAUGGUGGAGACCCGAUUGGCAAGAACGCAAACCAGCAACUGAUUCAGAUAAAAUACAUGAUGAAGUUAAACGCCUUGUUAUCCUUUGCACAUGUCGACAAAAAUUUCGCGUAUUUCAAGUUGGCGAAGGGAAAUAUAGGUUUGGCGACUCGACUCUCAAAAAUUACGAAUAUUGCGAAUAUUGCGUAGCACAGUUAUGGUUCGUGUAGGUGGCGGCUGGCUUGCACUUGAUGAGUUCUUAUAAAAAAAUUUUCCUUGUCGCGCUGGUUUUAAUGACUCGAGUGUUUUAUUACAACUCUGCUCUACAUAAUCUAUUUAAUCAUCCAUACGUCAGUG